AUGAACGCUGGCGGCGUGCCUAAUACAUGCAAGUCGAGCGAACGGACGAGAAGUUUGCUUUUCUGAUGUUAGCGGCGGACGGGUGAGUAACACGUGGAUAACCUACCUAUAAGACUGGGAUAACUUCGGGAAACCGGAGCUAAUACCGGAUAAUAUGUUGAACCGCAUGGUUCAAAAGUGAAAGACGGUCUUGCUGUCACUUAUAGAUGGAUCCGCGCUGCAUUAGCUAGUUGGUAGGGUAACGGCUUACCAAGGCAACGAUGCAUAGCCGACCUGAGAGGAUGAUCGGCCACACUGGAACUGAGACACGGUCCAGACUCCUACGGGAGGCAGCAGUAGGGAAUCUUCCGCAAUGGGCGAAAGCCUGACGGAGCAACGCCGCGUGAGUGAUGAAGGUCUUCGGAUCGUAAAACUCUGUUAUUAGGGAAGAACAUAUGUGUAAGUAACUGUGCACAUCUUGACGUUACCUAAUCAGAAAGCCACGGCUAACUACGUG
rnacentral:rRNA from 1 species